rnacentral:tRNA from 1 species
GCCCUCGUAGCUCAAUUGGACAGAGCGCCUGACUUCGAAUCAGUAGGUUGUGGGUUCGAGUCCCGCCGGGGGCGCCA